rnacentral:rRNA from 1 species
AGAGUUUGAUCAUGGCUCAGAUUGAACGCUGGCGGCGUGCCUAACACAUGCAAGUCGAGCGGUAACAGGUGUAGCAAUACAUGCUGACGAGCGGCGAACGGGUGAGUAAUGCUUCGGAAUCUGCCCAAUGGUGGGGAAUAACUAGCCGAAAGGUUAGCUAAUACCGCAUAAGCCCUACGGGGGAAAGCAGGGGAUCGUAAGACCUUGCGCCGAUGGAUGAGCCGAAGCCGGAUUAGCUAGUUGGUAGGGUAACGGCCUACCAAGGCGACGAUCCGUAGCUGGUCUGAGAGGACGACCAGCCACACUGGGACUGAGACACGGCCCAGACUCCUACGGGAGGCAGCAGUGGGGAAUAUUGGACAAUGGGGGAAACCCUGAUCCAGCGACGCCGCGUGUGUGAAGAAGGCCUGCGGGAUGUAAAGCACUUUUAGUGGGGAUGAAAAGCUCAGGGCUAAUACCUCUGGGUCUUGACCUAACCCACAGAAAAAGCACCGGCUAACUCUGUGCCAGCCGCCGCGGUAAUAC